CCUCAAAAGCGGCCUUACCAAUAAUUGAAUGAUAGUUAUUGCUGUAAGUAAACUCUACCAAAGGUAGAUGCUCAACCCAACUGCAACCAUAAUCAACCACACAUGCUCGAAGAAUAUCUUCUAAUGUCUGAAUUGUUUUUUCUGCUUGUCUAUCCCUCUGAGAAUGAGAAGUAGUACAAAGACUCACCUUAAUCCCCAAUCCUCUCUAUAAAGACCACCAAAGAUAAAAUCAAAACUGCAUACAAUGAUACGAAAUAAUCGAAAUAGGUACCCCACACAACUUCACAAUUAUACAAUAAUGCAAUCAUGAAAACCAUUCUUAAAAACCAUGCAUUUAUUUGGAAGUAAUAAUGAGGGAAGAAAAAAUGCCUUAAUUGACAAAGUAGAUGGAGAGAAACCACCAACAAGAUCCCCAAUUUAGUCCUUUAGUUGAAACCUUAGCUUCCUUGUCCAAAAGCUCUAGUGUUUAAGAAGAGUUUCUAAGUGUUAAUGAAUAGAAUUAAAAUUAAAAUUCUAUUAUGUCUAGAUAUUAAAAUUUUAGGAAAUUUUCUAAGGUCCAGAAACCAAAGUGUUUUAGUUUUCCCUACUAAGAACAUUCGUCCCCGAAUGAGGGACAACAAAGGGGUAACCACACGCACAAGUCAUUUGCAUUAUCAAAUAUAUUUCCAAUAUUUAAAAUAGUUUGAAAAUAAUGAGGCAAUGAUAUUAAUAUUUCCUUUAACAAGCUCAGAAAAUAAAGAUGUGUUAAAGAUACAUACCUUCCGAACAAAUACUAGGAGUAGAAAAAAGAUGUGGAUACCUUGAAUUCAUGUCCUUUUCUUCUUUCCAUGUAGCUUCUUGCACCUUAUGGUUCUACCAUAGAACAUUAACUGAAGCCAUAACCUUGGUUCACAACUGGCGAACCUGCUUAUCCAAGAUCUCAAUCAAGACCUCUACAUAAGACAGAGAGCCUAAGAUACCCGACCCCUCCAAAUGAACAAUCGAAGAAGGAACACUAAGACACUUUCUCAAUAUGGAGAUAUGAAAUAUCGGAUGAACCGAGCUCAAGAUAGAAGGAAACUCUAAUUCAAAAGCAAAAUUUCCAACCCUUUGCAAAACCACAUAUAGACCAACAAACUGGUGACGGAGCAUCUCCCUUUUUCCAAACUGCAUUAUUCCCUGCAUGGUAGAUACCUUAAGGAACAUUUUAUCCCUAACCUCAAACUCCAAGUCUCUACACUUAACAUCUUCAUAGGACUUUUGGCGAAUUUGGGAAUCCUUAAGCCUAUCCCAACUCAUCUUUACAUUUUCCAUAGGCUUAGAAACCAAAUUCGGACCGACCAUAUCCGCCUCACUGUGCUCAAACCAACCAAAAAGAGAUCUAUAUCUCCCACCCCAUAGUGCCUCAAAAGCGGACUUACCAAUACUUGAAUAAUAGUUAUUGCUGUAAGUAAACUCUACCAAAGGUAGAUGCUCAACCCAACUGCAACCAUAAUCAACCACACAUGCUCGAAGAAUAUCUUCCAAUGUCUGAAUAGUUUUUUCUGCUUGUCUAUCCAUCUGAGAAUGAGAAGUAGUACAAAGACUCACCUUAAUCCCCAACCCUCUCUAUAAAGACCACCAAAAAUAAAAUCAAAACUGCAUACAAUGAUAGGAAAUAAUCGAAAUAGGUACCCCAUACAACUUCACAAUUAUACAAUAAUGCAAUCAUGAAAACCAUUCAUAAAAACCAUGCCUUUCUUUGGAAGUAAUAGUGAGGGAAGAGAAAAUGCCUUAAUUGACAAAG
rnacentral:lncRNA from 1 species